UUAACUCAAAUUUGUAUGAAGUUGGAACGUAUGCUUACGUUUGCCACUAGGGGCGCUGUUUCAAUAGCAUACAAAUUAGACUUA
rfam:Bombyx mori DNA, contig: Bm_scaf96_contig35357, strain: p50T/Dazao, build 2, whole genome shotgun sequence.